ensembl:lncRNA
CUCCUUAACCAUACCAAGUGUUGGGGUGGAUGCAGAAGAACUCAAACUCUUACUCCCUAUUUGAGAAUACAAAAUGUUACAAGUACUUUGGAAAAAUUUCAACAGUUUAUUAAAAAUUUAAACAUAUGACCCAGCCAUUCCAUUCUUAGAAACUUACCCAAGAGAAAUGAAAGCAUGUCCAUACAAAGUAACAAAAACUUGAAAUAACCCAAAUAUCUAUCAGCUGGUGAAUGGAUUAAUAAAUUACUGCAUAUCCAUACAAUGGAAAACAGCUCAGCAAUAAAAUGAAAUAGAUGAGACAGGCAACAGUUGACUCAUUUAAGCUGAGUGAAAGAAGCCAGUCAACAAAGAAUACAUAUUUUAUGAUUGAUUCCAGAAAAUACGUAUGUUAAUCUAUAGUGACAAAAAAGCAAAUCACUGGGUUCUUGGAAACUUUGUAGGGGCUGUGGAGUAGGUAAGCUGGGAGGAAGAGAUUAUAAAGGGGCUAAGGGGACAUCUGGUGGUUAUGGUUGUACUCAUCUUCCUUGUUAAAAUGAUUUCAUGGGUGUAUACAUAUGUGAAAAUUAAUGAAAGUGUAUCCUUUAAAUGUGUGCAGGCUGAACGUAAAACAAUCUUCUAAAGCAUAGGAACAUGCAAACCCAAACCCAAGGUCUGUGGUUGGCUAGUUCAGAAUUCAGGUUAAUCAAGUUGGUGAUUUUUUUUUUAGCCUGGUGAAAGUAAGGAGAGAUUUGUGCUUUUUCCCAUCAAAAUAUGUUAUGACACUUUUGAGGAUCCUUCAUCUGACCAGAAAUCUUAAGAUCUUCCUGUUAACGCAGGUAAAAUAGGCCUAGUAUAUUCAUUUCUCAACAUUGAGUAUAAACAGAAAUCCUAUUUUUCACUAUUUACCUAAGCUAAUUUAUGUAACCUUUUCCUCUAAUAUCUGAACAUUUCUCAAAUACCUUUUUGAAAUACUGAUGCUAUUAAGUUGAAAAUUUUACUGUUAACAACUUUGAGUAGUCACUCCUGAAUUAAGAUUUUAUGUGAUCUUCAUUUCUUAUUAUUAGAGUUUAUACUCUCUUCCUGUAUAAGUUGCUAGUUUAAUAGUCAAAGAAUCCUGCCUUAUAGUUUUAUUAUACUUUCUUAUUCACUGUCUUCAGCUUCCAUCUGUUUUUUCCAUUGUCUCAAGGUUUCUUCCCUCUACAGUGCCAGUCACCUGCCUCACCUCUCUAGCCUCAUCUUGGAACACACUGUCAAGCAUGUAACCUGGCCUCUGGCAGUUUUGCUGAGUUACAUAUUAUUAGUACUAAAUGACAUAAGUAAGAGGUUUUGACAACAGCCCAAGCUUCUAAAUAGAAGACUGAGCUACAGGAAGAAACAUGCAGUGUGCAAGAAAACUACCUACAUGUGACUAAC